UUAAAAAAAUAUAAAAUAUAAAACUAAAAACACACAAAAUGUACAAAAGGUGUAAUGUAGGAGCUGUGCAGUGGACUUUGAGAAUUAGAAAGAAUUACAGCCCACAUGAAAGUGUGCAUAAAAUGAGCGAGAAUGAGCGAUCCCUUCAUAUUGCAACACAGCCGAAAGCAAAAUCUUCACUUGCCGGACUUCCUUCCUCCUCUGCAUCUGAAUGAUCAGAUAACAAGCCUCAUGUGAUGUUAAAGACGCACAACAGUAAACUCAGUCCACCUCGCCUGGGGUCACCAUGAACACCUUCUUCAUCAGUCAACUGCUUUUGACGACUCUUCUUCUCCGAACAACUGCAGAAGAUGCAGAGUUGACAUCACCCACAGCACGUGACCCUGACGGCUCUGUGCAUUACGAUGAGUUCUGCCUGCGUAUUUCUGAUAACUCCCACUGGACCAGCUCCAGACCAGUUAUCCAGCGAUCUUCAGAGUCCGCCAGUCAGGAACCCAAACCAUCCAAGGAGCCAAACGGAGAAUCAACGCAACUUCCCAAUCAGCCGUCUACAGAUUCAACCACUCCAUACAGUCAGUCACCUCAACCAUCCACACAGCCAACACCUGCAUACCUGGAAUCCACGACACAGCCUGAACAAACAACCCAAAAACUCCAGAGACCUGUCUUACCCAGAGGUCAACAGGGUCCUGAAUUUGCUAUUGGGUAUCGUACUGUCACUGGUGGUGGUGGAUGUCUCUGUGGGAAGUUUGUUGAUGAUCAUGUUGACGUCUCCCGGUUUACAACCAUGGUUUUUCAGAACCCAACACCAACAUGCGGGCAACGUGAAUACUUGCACCAUGGUAGUGAAAGGCUAACAGUCCUAUCCAUAAUGCACUGUGGGACUGGCUAUGGUGGAUGGUCUAAUCAAAAAAUGCUUCCUGCAUUAGGAUGAAAAGGAGUCGGUGAAUGUUCUUACUACAAGCAAAGAGUCAGGGUCAAAAAAAAAGAAGAGAACUGAGAUCCACCUUUUCAAGCAGAAUUCUACCGAUCGCUCCAGAGUGCAUCAACUUCAGACGAAAAAAACUGACUCGCUGUGCAAAGGGCCUAACUCUCAGAACAGUCCCGCAGAGAGAGAUGUUUUGGACAAUUGGUUUUUAAACUAAUUUGUGGAUUAAAAAAGAAACCAUAUUGCACAAUUCAGAUCACUUACUGUUGCCUUUUUUUCAGUCGGAUAAGGAUGGAUGGUCAACGGGUUUGUGCUUCUCGAUCAUUUGCAAGGAGGUUCUUUCGUUAUGGACUGCGCAGAUCUGAAACAACGACUGAGGCAAGAGGCUACAAAGAGCCUUUGGCCAGAUCCUCUGCUGAACUGGACAUAAGCACAUGGUUACCCACAACUUCUCCUCCCUUUUUGGCAGAUACAGCACAAAUCCAUGAUCCAUACCCAGAACUUAUUUCUGAUCAAUUGAUGAGGCAUCAGGAUGCAUUGAAAAUCAAAUGCCCAGAUUGCUUUCGCACUGAAAAUCUGAAGAACAUUGACCCGAGUGAUGUAGAAUCCGUGUUGAUGAUGAGGCCAGAGCCUGGCUGUCCUAUCCUGCUUCUCGUGAAAAACAGAAAUGAAAAUACCCUCUGUGUUGACGCGUCCCAGCCAAUGUUCAAGAUUCUACUGGCCAACCUGGACAUUUAAGCCCGCCUGCAAGACAACUCAGAAUGCAUUUUCUGAUCCCCCUUUGAUCCUGCAGGGGAGGGGUUACAGGGGUUUAGGUGUGAGGCAAAGCAUGGAGAACAUAUCAUGAGGUUUGAUGCAUUUUACUUGUAAGCCUUUGCUUCUUCUUUAUAUAUACAAAAGUAAACAUUUGCUUAUUAUUAUCUCAAAGAUUUUUAAAGAGGUCCUCUUCCACCACAUGUGGUUGAUUCAUUUGUUCAUGUGUUCUUCUGAUGUGUAAUACUGUAUCUUACAUUUUCUGUACUUCUUGCUGUUUUCAUUAUUAAAUAAAAGCAUUAUAGAAAAAAUA